GGCCCUGUAGCUCAGAGGAUAGAGCAGCGGUUUCCUAAACCGUGUGUCGGAUGUUCGACUCAUCUCAGGGCCGCCA
rnacentral:tRNA from 1 species